CCUACAAAACAUAAAAAGAACUUAUGCAGUAGAGAGCUUUUUCCAACACACGAUGGAAAAAACAGGGGAUCUGUGAAAGUCAACAAUCUGCAAAAUGACCAGUACUCUUAGGAAAUAAUUCACAUUUCAUGAAAACAGGAGCCCUGGAACAUCUGCACAGUACAAGAUAAAGAAAAGGGGUGGGAAGCAGAAGAAAGGAAGAGACAACUUUAAAGCUUUCUGGAAAAAAGAAAUCCUAGACAUCUGUCCGCCAAGUCCACACAUGAAAUGAACUGCAGGCCAGACAACAACAAGAGAAAAUAAGUGCAAAAAGUUCCCUAGGCCCAGAGAUACUCACUCAUGUAACGGAAGGUCUCCUCGUCAUGAAUCGGAGAAGUUGUUGCAGGAAGAUGACCAUGGCAUGUAGGGGACUGGAUCCAGUCUUGAUUCUCAUACAGGUACAGAGAGUCCACUCGUAAUUUGUACUCUGGCAACUGUUCUUCUAGCAUGCUCACCAGCUCUACCUCAGGAAGAUCUUCACUGGAGCAGACAUCUAAAAGCAAGCAAAUGCCAUGUAACCAAAACUAAGUACACUACUAUUAUAUAUGCUACAUACAUGCCACAGUAGUAUAAAUUCUAUAUGCUAAUAAAUAUUUUAUAAACCUUCA